AUCCCUCGAAGGUCAGAAUAAUAGUCAAAAGCAGUGGGGUUUUGGGCGUACCAGGGAAAAAAAAAAACAGCAAGGUUUCAUGCCAUUGAGUUCUCGAGUUCAAAUGAUGAUUCUCUGGCCAUCCCAAAGAGCAAUCUAAAUAAACAGGAACUGGAGAGGACUUGCUGAAACCAGUCGAAUGGCAGAGCAUAUACAAUUUGCACUGCUCAAUCUGCUUGAUUCAUUGCCCAUACCGUUUCGCAGAAUAUUCACAUAUCAUCUUUGUUGCUGCAUGUGGCAUUUUUUUGGUUGCAUUCGAGAAGAGACAGUAACAGGGCAUUUGAUUCUUCAACUUAUGCCCGUAACUUCUGUCCUUGUCUACAUGAUACUUCAUGCUUGACGAGAAUGGGGUGCGCAUGGACCAAUUUGGACUAUUUCUUCCCUCCUUGGCAUGGUUGGUUUGAAAGUUGAUGUGCCAUCAACAGAAAUUCACGUGUAAGAAAUGCUGUUGAUGUUGCAAUAUAUUACUCGAGUGAACGGAAAUUAGAUAAAAGGUUUAUUCCACAUCUGUCCUUGUCGGUAUAUGCUGAAACAUAAGGUUGAAGAGGUUUACUUGUUA